GAUGAACGCUGGCGGCGUGCCUAAUACAUGCAAGUCGAACGGAGAGUCUUUGUAGCAAUACGAGGGCUUCUUAGUGGCGAACGGGUGAGUAACGCGUUGGUGACCUGCCCCAAAGUGUGGGAUAACAGUCCGAAAGGAUUGCUAAUACCGCAUGUGGCCCCCGGGUUUAGAAACCGGUGACUAAAGCAGUAAUGCGCUUUGGAAGGGACCUGCGUCCCAUCAGCUAGUUGGUGAGGUAACGGCCCACCAAGGCUACGACGGGUAGGGGACCUGAGAGGGUGGCCCCCCACAAUGGAACUGAAACACGGUCCAUACACCUACGGGUGGCAGCAGUAGGGAAUAUUGCACAAUGGGCGAAAGCCUGAUGCAGCAACGCCGCGUGCGCGAAGAAGGUCUUCGGAUCGUAAAGCGCUUUUCUGGGAGAUGAGAAAGGACAGUAUCCCAGGAAUAAGUCUCGGCUAACUACGUGCCAGCCGCCGCCGUAAAAC
rnacentral:rRNA from 1 species